rnacentral:tRNA from 1 species
GGUGGUGGUUGAGUGGGUUAAAGCGUUUGAUUACCACCUCGGGGGUCCGAGAUUCGAAUCCUCGACACCACCG